rnacentral:rRNA from 1 species
GACGAACGCUGGCGGCGUGCUUAACACAUGCAAGUCACGGGGGCUGGGUAACCAGCAACCGGCGAACGGGUGCGUAACACGUGACCAACCUGCCCUCGUGUGGGGGAUAGCCGGGCUAACGCCCGGGUAAUACCGCAUACGGUCCUCGAGAGGAGUCUCUUGGGGAAGAAAGCUCCGGCGCACGGGGGAGGGGGUCGCGGCCUAUCAGCUAGUUGGGGGGUACGGACCGUCCC